rnacentral:rRNA from 1 species
CCUACGGGAGGCAGCAGUGGGGAAUAUUGCACAAUGGGGGAGACCCUGAUGCAGCGACGCCGCGUGAGUGAGGAAGUCUUUCGGUAUGUAAAGCUCUAUCAGCAGGGAAGAAAAUGACGGUACCUGACUAAGAAGCCCCGGCUAACUACGUGCCAGAAGCCGCGGUAAUACGUAGGGGGCAAGCGUUAUCCGGAUUUACUGGGUGUAAAGGGGGCGUAGACGGUUAUUCAAGUCAGAAGUGAAAACCCAGGGCUCAACCUUGGGACUGCUUUUGAAACUGAGUAGCUAGAGUGCAGGAGAGGUAAGCGGAAUUCCUAGUGUAGCGGUGAAAUGCGUAGAUAUUAGGAGGAACACCAGUGGCGAAGGCGGCUUACUGGACUGUAACUGACGUUGAGGCUCGAAAGCGUGGGGAGCAAACAGGAUUAGAUACCCUUGUAGUC